CCUCGCCAGGCAGGUCCAACGUGCCCUUGAAGAAUAUAAACACUUCCUAAACAACAACAAUAACAAGCAUAAGAGGAACAAAUCCCACUCUCCUUCUCAAACCCUAGUCUGCGCCGCCGAUGAUGAUGAAGAAGAAGAUGAUGAUGAUUGCCAAUUCCGAAGCCCCACUCCGAAGAAGCUGAAGAAGAUUGAUGAGUGAACAGAGAUUGAUAUAUAGAGAGGCUCAGCAUCAUCGAAGGCGGCAUAUGGAGCAGGAACGUCCGUCGACGGCUACUACGUCGUCUUUAUCAUCGUCCUCUUCUGACGAUGAAACGGAUGGUGCCGUAUCGACGUAGGAGGACGCGACAUAUGGCGAGAGACUGGAGCCGGAGUUCGAUUUGAUGAGGUCAAUGCUGCGCUCGAGUUAUAGCAAAGCAAAGCCUGCUGUGGAAUCGAAGCCGGAGGAGAAGAAUCUUGAGAUGGAGGAGGUUGCUCAGCAGGCCAAGAAGAUCAAUUCGGUUGAAGGAGAGAGAAUUGAAGGAAUUGGAACGGAUUCGAAACCAGAAGUGAAGGGUUCCGGCGUUGGAGGCAAUGGUGUUGGUGGCGGUGGUGAGGUGAAGGGGAAGGACGAGCCAAUGUUUAGGGAUUUGGGUGGAAUGGGAGGGGUGGUGGAGGAGUUGACAAUUAAUGUUGUUGUUCCGUUGUACCAUCCGCGACUACCUCAGUGUCUCGGAGUUAGGCCGCCAGUGGGGAUUUUAUUGCACGGUCCACCUGGGUGUGGAAAGACGAAGCUGGCUCAUGCCAUUGCCAAUGAGACUGGAUUUCCAUUUUUUAGAUUUCAGCUACUGAAGUGGUCUCUGGUGUUUCAGGUGCAUCUGAAGAGAAUAUUUGAGAGCUUUUCUCAAAAGCUUACAGGACUGCUCCUUCAAUUGUAUAUAUUGAUGAGAUUGAUGCAAUUGCUUCAAAAAGAGAAAAUCUACAGAGGGAGAUGGAUCGACGCAUAGUGACAACUAAUGACCUGCAUCGAGGAAUCACACAGACUUGUACAACCAGCUGAUAAAGAUUUGAAUUCAGAAAGCUCUCAUCAUGGUCCUGGCUAUGUACUUGUGAUUGGAGCUACCAGUAGAAUCGAUGCUGUUGAUUGUGCAUUAAGGAGGCCAGGAAGAUUUGAUCUUGAGAUUCUGUUGGGUGUACCAGAUUAAAAUGCAAGAUUUGAUCUUGAGAUUCUGUUGGGAUUUGUUCUUAGCUUGUUUCUUCAUUGUAUAGCAGCUGGAAAACUGAAGCGAUACCAAACAGCCCCUUUUUGUUGGACAUUCCUCCUGGCAGAGAAAAGCCCUUGUGAGUGCAACAAAAAAACUGAAGUUGCCUUGUUGGUCCUUUGUUUGGUUACCAUUUCAUGCUACCGACAUUUGUCUAUGUUCUAUUUAUCUGGACUUUGAAGUACAUUCAAUGUUGCUAUGGUCACAGUUUUGAAGAAUGUUACCAAUGUGAUAACUGCACUCGGCAAAAUGUAUAUAUUCAAUAAGUACCAUGACAACAAAGUUUGGACUGCUUUGUUCUUAAUGUAUCCAUGCAAGUACCCUUUGAAGAUUGCACUAGUAAAAUGCAUGUGUGCUCAUAUGGUAGGAUGACCUUUGGGCAAGUAAAGAUUUCAGGUUGAUGUUGUUAUUGACAUCGAGGAGUUUCAUGAACCCUGGUUGAGCAUUAGGGUUAAUUUUCCGGAGUUCAUUCACAUUCUCAACGUCUUGUGAAAGCUACCAUCCAUGAAUCACAAUCAUUGGAUCAUUUCUGCAAUUACUGGAGGAAUUACUGAUCUAUCUUUUCAUGCUGUUGGCUAUACAUGGCAAAUUAUUAACUGCUUCUUAACAGCAUCAUACUCUGUGAGUAAGUUUGAAUUUGUUGCUUUUCAUUUGUAUUCUUUGCUUUGGAAGCUCCUUUCCUCUUCCAUUUGUUUUAACAUAAAAUAGGUGCCGGAGACAUUUUAUGAUAUCUUCUUUUGGCCUUCAUGGUCCUACUUAUCUUGAUGAAGUUUUAGCUUAAGAUAUCAUGCUCAAUGGGUUAAAUUACGCUAAAAUUUCUGAAAAUUUUGAUUUUGGCAUGUCUUGCAAUGAAAGCCCUGGCCAACGUUGUUUCUGCACAAGUUUUGUGGGAAAUUUUGAUAAUUUUAUCAAUUUUGGCUUUUGGGAAUUUAUAUUAUUAUGGAGAAAAUGUCACUGAAUAAUAUAAAGUUUGCUGAAAUUGUUGUUGCAUUUAGCCAGGAGAAUCAAAAGCUCAGAGCACCCAUGCAACGAAAGCCCUGGCCAACUUUGUUUCUGCAUAAAUUUUAUGGGAGAUUUUGAGUGAAUUUAUGGAAUUUUAAAUUUUUACAGAAUGAAAAAUAUCAUUGAAUUUUGUAAAUUUUGUUGGAAUUCUUGUUCCAACCUCAAGAAUCAAAAGCCCAGAGCACCCAUGUAAACAAAAUGAAAUCCCAAACAGUCAGGUUCAACAUUACAAUGCCCAAAUAAACUCCCAAACCCAUGCAUGUACUGAUGUACCUAAUUUGGAAAUUUGGAAGUUCAUAACAUCUCAGCGCAUUGUCAGUCAUAAUUGCCUUCUCGUUCAUCUUGUUGAUCUUAGUCGGAGAUUUGUCAUUUCUUGAAGGCCAAUCUACUGCCUUCUUGUUUGAUGGCAGUGGGUUGACUUUAAUAUCGCUAUAGAGGCUGAUCCUUUAGGCUAUGCUUGAUUUUUGGUAUGUCUGUUCCUAGGAACAGAAUGGUUAUGGUAUUGGAAUAUGAUAGAUUACAAAUCAUCAUAAAGCAAAUGACAAUGCAAAAAUAUUUGUUAAUCCAUAACACUGAAUAGAAUGAUUAUUUCCAGAUGUCACUCUGGGAAUGUGUUUUUUUUAUCGUAUUGCAUAUUUGAUCGAAUGGCAACCUUGCAAUUUCCUGACAUUUGCUUCAUGAUGACACUACUCUUCUUCUGUCAGCUGUCAAAUCUGUACUAUAAUAUAUUAUUCCUAGGAAUAAACAUUCUGUGGACCAAACACAGCCAUAGUGUCAAUUUGGUUUGUCAGACCCUUUCACUCUUUAAAGCCUACUCCUUGUUAUAUGAACUUAAAUUGUUUUGGUGCCUGGAUGCGUAUCUUGGAUUUGAUGCUGUACUCUGGCGGAAUAAUGUUAUAUUUAUUUUGUUGUUUUCUUUUUCUUUCUUUGUCUUUGUAUUUUUGUUGGAAGAUAACUGAAAUGAUAUGCAAUUGUUAACUGUUAAAAGAACAGAAAUGAUGCACAAUUGUAAAAUCAAUCUUUAAAAUCUCUACAAGUAGAAUUAUUUCUAUUAGAAAACUGGUUGCCAUUUUUGUUAAUUUUGGUUGACUUCAGUUUUGAUAAACAACUUUUUCUUAGCAGAUUUUUGUGUCUUAGUGGAUUGACAAGGUAUCAAAAACUGCACAUCUCCAUAAAGCACUAUCCUUUCUGGUUUUGCCAAAACCUUAUUGAUUACUUUCCGGAAUUCCCCACAUCCUGCAGGGCCACCAGGCUUCACCAAAACACGAGAAGAGAACACACCAUGAAAAGUUGUUGGUUUAGGAAAGCUUGUAUUUGCAAUAUUUUGUCUUUUUAUUUCUUUGUUUUGUUCCUGGAGAUUUGGUCAAUAUGGUAAAAUAGAUUGAGUCUUCGUUGGUUAUUAUUGUGGUUAGGAGAUUGUGUUUUGCGUGAGGGUUGUUAUUUUCUCUUGGUGUCCCCUUUUUCAGUUUCUUCUCCCUUCACCCUCUCUUGUCCUAUAGAAGAUCUUGGAGUUUUGUGAGUCCCUCGUAAUAGGCCUCUAAUUCAAAUUAUUCUACACCACUAUGAACACUAUGGUGUGCUGUAACACUAGAUGCUAUCUUUUGAGGAAGCUUUUCAAAAUAGAAGUGGCGGUAGUUUACUCGA